AGGAAGCGUAUGCCUCCAGCAAAAUGGGCGGAGUCAGCAGAGACACUGACCACUGAGUCCGAGAGCAGAGACCUGGGGCUGCGACCAGCUCCGAUGGAGAUGGAUGCUUUCUGGACCUCCUAGACACAGCAGGAGCCCAGUGAGAGGGUCUGGCUGCUCCCACCCAGAGACCCCAGAGAAGCCUGGCAGAGAAAGCAAGCUUCAUGUUGCCGGGAACGCUUGGAGUGACAGCUCGGGGCUUAUGCUCCAACCCAGCAGAUGACCGAUGGAGGGAAAUAAAGUGGAAUUUAAACCGUACCUCUGACAAGGUUUAAUCUUUGAAAUCCGGUACUCAGGGAAGCUAUGGGUUGCCUUCCUUGGACCAUUUCGGAGCCCAUCUUCCUGGUUAUGGAAAGGGCGCUUCGCCCAGAGAGAUCUCACCUCUCCUCCCAGCUCUUCGCCCCCAGAAAGCCCCCCAGCCUCUCCUGGGUUUGGUUUUGGAAGUGAUCUUUAACCUUACUCUCCCACUAUAAGCCCUUCCUGGAAAGCUUGGUACAGUCUUCCAGAGACAGGGAUG